AGCGGAGGAAAAGAAACCAACAGGGAUUGCCUUAGUAACGGCGAGUGAAGCGGCAAUAGCUCAAAUUUGAAAUCUGGCGCUUUCAGCGUCCGAGUUGUAAUUUGUAGAAGGUAUCUUUGGUGUUGGCCCUUGUCUAUGUUUCUUGGAACAGGACGUCACAGAGGGUGAGAAUCCCGUGCGAUGGGGUGUCCAAUGCUAUGUAAAGUUCCUUCGACGAGUCGAGUUGUUUGGGAAUGCAGCUCUAAGUGGGUGGUAAAUUCCAUCUAAAGCUAAAUAUUGGCGAGAGACCGAUAGCGAACAAGUACAGUGAUGGAAAGAUGAAAAGAACUUUGAAAAGAGAGUGAAAAAGUACGUGAAAUUGUUGAAAGGGAAGGGCUUGAGAUCAGACUUGGCUUCGGCCGGGCCAGCAUCGGUUUGGAUGGUAGGAUAAUGACAUUGGAAUGUACCUUGCCUUCGGGGAAGUAUUAUAGCCCUUGUUGAUACUGCCUGUCUAGACCGAGGACUGCGUCUUUUGACUAGGAUGCUGGCAUAAUGAUCUUAAGCCGCCCGU
rnacentral:rRNA from 1 species